UACAGAGACUGCAAGCGUUAUUCGGAUUCACUGGGCGUAAAGGGUGCGCAGGCGGCCAAGUGUGUUAGGCGUGAAAGCCCGGGGCUUAACCUCGGAAUUGCACCUAAAACUACUUGGCUAGAGCAUUGGAGAGGGUAGCGGAAUUCACGGUGUAGCGGUGAAAUGCGUAGAUAUCGUGAGGAACACCAGAGGCGAAGGCGACUACCUGGACAAUUGCUGACGCUCAGGCACGAAAGCGUGGGGAGCAAAAGGG
rnacentral:rRNA from 1 species